GUAAUGUACAUUUUUACAGAAAGAUUGGAAUGAUACCGAUUUGGGGCAAGUAAUACCUGAUGUCAGAUAUAUAACACUAAAAUCACACUGUUUGCUCAUUUAAACCAGCGUGCUGAAGCAAUAUUUAAAGCAUGUAAUUAUAGUGACUGAUAAUUAAGUAAAAUGUGUUUUUUGAGGAUGUGAUGAGAAAUGAGAUUAUUUUACAUGUGGUUUAAGAUCUCAGGCUGUUGUCAGCCGUGUAAUUGAAGGUUAUUGACAAGUUGUUCUAUCGCAAUUUAUUCUAUAGAUUCUGAAUAUAAUGCAAAUCUUGAGAAAUGAGACAAUCUAUUCUAAUGGUCCUUAUUAGCUGGAGGGUACAGAAGAAUUGUCAUCUGAAGGAAAGAACAAUACUAAUGAGUUGUCACUGUCUUGGGAUUUGCCUCAAGUCACAUGUGAGAACAGAAGAUGCUGCUGGACAAGCUGAUGCUCCACGCAGUGAGUAUUCUCAUCUGUACUUUAACAGAUCAUUUCAACCAGACAGACAAAUGAGCGUUGAAGUUCACACUCACAAUGUUCACAUUGUGUCUUUUUUGUGCUUCACACAGAUGUUGAUGAGUUGAUUGUUUCGCGCUAGUUCAGUAGUUAAAGAUUAGUAAGGCGGCUUUCCUUUUCGUAAUGCAAAUGCUUUGCAGGUACUUGGAAGAAGCUCAAGACGGGUUAAACAGUUACGAAGGGGCUUAAAAGAGACGCUGAUCUGGCCUUUGCUAACUGAGAGGAAAGACACAAUUCCCCUCCUCUUUCCAAGAGCAUGUGAUGUACAGCGCACACCACAGAGACCUCCUUCCACCAUUUAGGAGCAGGACAGCAAAGAGUGGAGAUCUAGUCGAGUGUUUUGCUCUCAGUGAGGAGGAACAAGCAGUUUAUCACAUGCAGAGCGGAGAGUGCGGGUCGGGAUGUCGGGUUGGACCAGGUCCUGGAUGUAAGCUGGACCCCAUCCAUUCACAGCACGCAUCUGUCAGCAUCCUUGGGAAACUCCUACAGUUGUGGAUAGGAUGGAAUGUGCUCCCCAGACACCAGCUGGAUAUCAGCGUGGUGGAGAGCAACUUCUCCACUUCCUCCACCUGCUUCCACCAGCUGAAGCUUCCAGUACAAAGACUACUGCCACUCUGAAAUGGAC
ensembl:lncRNA